UAUUAACUCUAGCGAUAGGCUUAACACAUGCAAGUCGAGGGGCAGCACAAGGUAGCUUGCUAUCUGGGUGGCGACCGGCGCACGGGUGCGUAACGCGUAUGCAACUUGCCCUAUACAGGAGGAUAACCCGUCGAAAGACGGACUAAUACUGCGUAUGCUCACAACUUGGCAUCAAGUGGUGAGGAAAGAAAUUCGGUAUAGGAUAGGCAUGCGUCCCAUUAGCUUGUUGGUGAGGUAACGGCUCACCAAGGCAACGAUGGGCAGGGGAACUGAGGGGUUUAGCCCCCACACUGGUACUGAGACACGGACCAGACUCCUACGGGAGGCAGCAGUGAGGAAUAUUGGUCAAUGGGCGCGAGCCUGAACCAGCCAAGUCGCGUGAAGGAUGACUGUCUUAUGGAUUGUAAACUUCUUUUAUACGGGAAUAACAAGAGUCACGUGUGACUCCCUGCAUGUACCGUAUGAAUAAGCAUCGGCUAACUCCGUG
rnacentral:rRNA from 1 species